rnacentral:rRNA from 1 species
UACGGGGGGGGCAAGCGUUGUUCGGAAUUACUGGGCGUAAAGGGCUCGUAGGCGGCCAACUAAGUCAGACGUGAAAUCCCUCGGCUUAACCGGGGAACUGCGUCUGAUACUGGAUGGCUAGAGAUUGGGAGAGGGAUGCGGAAUUCCAGGUGUAGCGGUGAAAUGCGUAGAUAUCUGGAGGAACACCGGUGGCGAAGGCGGCAUCCUGGACCAACACUGACGCUGAGGAGCGAAAGCCAGGGAGCAAAGCGGG